GCUGGGCAUGGUGGUGCGCGCCCGUAGUCCCAGCUACUCAGGAGGCUGAGGCAGGAGAAUUGCUUGAACUUGGGAGGCGGAGGUUGUGGUGAGCUGAGAUCAUGCCAUUGUACUCCAGUCUGGUUAACAACAGCGAAACUCCGUCUUGGGGAAAAAAAAAAAAAAAAAAAAAAGACAGAGUCUCUCUGUUGCCCAGGCUGGAGUGCAAUGGUGCAAUCUCGGCUCACUGCAACCUCCACCUCCCAAGUUCAAGUGAUUCUCCUGCCUCAG
rnacentral:sRNA from 1 species